UAAUACUGAGGGUGCAAGCGUUAAUCGGAAUUACUGGGCGUAAAGCGCGCGUAGGCGGUCUGGUCAGUCAGAUGUGAAAGCCCCGGGCUUAACCUGAGAACUGCAUUUGAAACUGCCAGGCUAGAGUGUGGUAGAGGGAAGUGGAAUUCCGCGUGGAGCGGUGAAAUGCGUAGAGAUGCGGAGGAACACCAGUGGCGAAGGCGACUUCCUGGACCAACACUGACGCUCAGGUGCGAAAGCGUGGGGAGCAAACAGGAUUAGAUACCCUGGUAGUCCACGCCGUAAACGAUGUCUACUAGCCGUUGGGGAGCUUGUCUCCAUAGUGGCGCAGCUAACGCGAUAAGUAGACCGCCUGGGGAGUACGGUCGCAAGACUA
rnacentral:rRNA from 1 species